GGGGAAGGGGGCUUCCUAUACAUGCAAUGUCGAGCGGACCGACGGGAGCUUGCUCCCUUAUGUCAGCGGCGGCCUGGUGAGUAACACGUGGGUAACCUGCCUGUAAGACUGGGCUAACUCCGGGAAACCGGGGCUAAUACCGGAUGCUUGAUUGAACCGCAUGGUUCAAUCAUAAAAGGUGGCUUUUAGCUACCACUUGCAGAUGGACCCGCGGCGCAUUAGCUAGUUGGUGAGGUAACGGCUCACCAAGGCGACGAUGCGUAGCCGACCUGAGAGGGUGAUCGGCCACACUGGGACUGAGACACGGCCCAGACUCCUACGGGAGGCAGCAGUAGGGAAUCUUCCGCAAUGGACGAAAGUCUGACGGAGCAACGCCGCGUGAGUGAUGAAGGUUUUCGGAUCGUAAAACUCUGUUGUUAGGGAAGAACAAGUACCGUUCGAAUAGGGCGGCACCUUGACGGUACCUAACCAGAAAGCCACGGCUAACUACGUGCCAGCAGCCGCGGUAAUACGUACGUGGCAAGCGUUGUCCGGAAUUGUUGGGCGUAAAGCGCGCGCAGGCGGUUUCUUAAGUCUGAUGUGAAAGCCCCCG
rnacentral:rRNA from 1 species